rnacentral:rRNA from 1 species
UACGUAGGGAGCAAGCGUUGUCCGGAAUCAUUGGGCGUAAAGCGCGCGUAGGCGGCCCUGUAAGUCCGUUGUGAAAGUCAAAGGCUCAACCUUUGAAAGCCGAUGGAUACUGCAGGGCUAGAGUUCGGAAGAGGCGAGUGGAAUUCCUGUGUAGCGGUGGAAUGCGCAGAUAUCAGGAGGAACACCAAUAGCGAAGGCAGCUCGCUGGGACGAUACUGACGCUAAGGCGCGAAAGCGUGGGGAGCGAACAGG